rnacentral:rRNA from 1 species
UACGGAGGGAGCUAGCGUUAUUCGGAAUUACUGGGCGUAAAGCGCACGUAGGCGGCUUUGUAAGUAAGAGGUGAAAGCCCAGAGCUCAACUCUGGAAUUGCCUUUUAGACUGCAUCGCUUGAAUCAUGGAGAGGUCAGUGGAAUUCCGAGUGUAGAGGUGAAAUUCGUAGAUAUUCGGAAGAACACCAGUGGCGAAGGCGACUCACUGGACACGUAUUGACGCUGAGGUGCGAAAGCGUGGGGAUCAAACAGG